rnacentral:rRNA from 1 species
UACGUAGGUGGCAAGCGUUGUUCGGAAUUAUUGGGCGUAAAGGGCGCGUAGGCGGUUUGUUAAGUCAGCUGUGAAAGCCCGGGGCUCAACCCCGGAGAGUCGACUGAUACUGGCAGACUAGAGUACGGAAGAGGUAGCUGGAAUUCCCGGUGUAGCGGUGAAAUGCGUAGAUAUCGGGAGGAAAACCUGAGGCGAAGGCGGGCUACUGGGCCGAUACUGACGCUGAUGCGCGAAAGCCAGGGGAGCAAACGGG